GCGUUGUUGGUUCUUGGGAGUCGCCACCUAGUAUUUGGUUUAGGGUUACUAGAAAACCCAAAUGUAUUAGUCUUUGUCAGAGAUUCACGGGUAAGGGACUGGUUAUAGCUAGAGAAGAUAUUAGCACACCUAGCACACCCUACAUGAGAUAAGCUGCUUCAUGGUUUGAUGUGAUCUAAAGGUUUUGAAAGUUGUCUUAUCAAUGACUUAAUAAAAAGAGGAAAAUUUAUCCUUAGUAAGAAGAUUCUUA